UUCCGGUUGAUCCUGCCGGAGGCUACCGCUAUUGGAGUCCGAUUAAGACAUGCGAGUCGAGAGCUUUCGGAGCUCGGCAUACUGCUCAGUAACACGUGGGUAACCUGCCCUGUGCUGGGGGAUAACCUCGGGAAACUGAGAACAAUACCCCAUAGUCCACUACGCCUGGAACGGUGAGUGGAUGAAAGCCCCGGCGGCACAGGAUGGGCCUGCGGCGUAUCAGGUAGUAGGGGGUGUAAAGUACCCUCUAGCCUUCGACGCGUACGGGUUGUGAGAGCAAUAGCCCGGAGAUGGAUUCUGAGACAAGAAUCCAGGUCCUACGGGACGCAGCAGUCGCGAAACCUUGACAAUGCGGGAAACCGUGAUCAGGGGACUCCAAGUGCCAGGAGUAAGAUCCUGUGCUUUUCUUUUCUCUUCAAAGGAUUUGGAAUAAGAGGUGGGUAAGGACGGUGCCAGCCGCCGCGGUAAUACCGGCGCCUCGAGUGGUAGUCGAUUUUAUUGGGCCUAAAACGUCCGUCGCCGGUCUGGUGCAUUCGUGGGUAAAUCAACCCGCUCAACGGGUUGAAUUCUGCGAGCACGGCCAGACUUGGGACCGGGAGAGGUGUGGGGUACUCUCAGGGUAGGGGUAAAAUCCUGUCAUCCCGAGCGGACCACCUGUUGCGAAGGCUCCACACUAGAACGGAUCCGACGGUCAGGGACGAAGCCUAGGGGCACGAACCGGAUUAGAUACCCGGGUAGUCCUAGGUGUAAACGCUGUGGACUUGGUGUUGGGAGCUCCCAGAGGGCUCUCAGUGCCGUAGCGAAGGUGAUAAGUCCACUGCCUGGGGAGUACGGUCGCAAGGCUGAAACUUAAAGGAAUUGGCGGGGGAACACCGCAACCUGAGGAUUGUGCGGUUUAAUUGGAUUCAACGCCGGG
rnacentral:rRNA from 1 species